rnacentral:rRNA from 1 species
UUAUCGGAGAGUUUGAUCCUGGCUCAGGACGAACGCUGGCGGCGUGCCUAAUACAUGCAAGUCGAGCGGACAGAUGGGAGCUUGCUCCCUGAUGUUAGCGGCGGACGGGUGAGUAACACGUGGGUAACCUGCCUGUAAGACUGGGAUAACUCCGGGAAACCGGGGCUAAUACCGGAUGCUUGUUUGAACCGCAUGGUUCAAACAUAAAAGGUGGCUUCGGCUACCACUUACAGAUGGACCCGCGGCGCAUUAGCUAGUUGGUGAGGUAACGGCUCACCAAGGCAACGAUGCGUAGCCGACCUGAGAGGGUGAUCGGCCACACUGGGACUGAGACACGGCCCAGACUCCUACGGGAGGCAGCAGUAGGGAAUCUUCCGCAAUGGACGAAAGUCUGACGGAGCAACGCCGCGUGAGUGAUGAAGGUUUUCGGAUCGUAAAGCUCUGUUGUUAGGGAAGAACAAGUGCCGUUC